GUAGCAAUACGGAGCGGCAGACGGGAGAGUAACACGUGGGAACGUGCCCUUUGGUUCGGAACAACACAGGGAAACUUGUGCUAAUACCGGAUAAGCCCUUACGGGGAAAGAUUUAUCGCCAAAGGAUCGGCCCGCGUCUGAUUAGCUUGUUGGUGAGGUAACGGCUCACCAAGGCGACGAUCAGUAGCUGGUCUGAGAGGAUGAUCAGCCUCACUGGGACUGAGACACGGCCCAGACUCCUACGGGAGGCAGCAGUGGGGAAUAUUGGACAAUGGGCGCAAGCCUGAUCCAGCCAUGCCGCGUGGAUGAUGAAGGCCCUAGGGUUGUAAAGUCCUUUCGGCGGGGAAGAUAAUGACGGUACCCGCAGAAGAAGCCCCGGCUAACUUCGUGCCAGCAGCCGCGGUAAUACGAAGGGGGCUAGCGUUGCUCGGAAUCACUGGGCGUAAAGCGCACGUAGGCGGCUUUUUAAGUCAGGGGUGAAAUCCUGGAGCUCAACUCCAGAACUGCCUUUGAUACUGAGAAGCUUGAGUUCGGGAGAGGUGAGUGGAACUGCGAGUGUAGAGGUGAAAUUCGUAGAUAUUCGCAAGAACACCAGUGGCGAAGGCGGCUCACUGGCCCGAUACUGACGC
rnacentral:rRNA from 1 species